rnacentral:ncRNA from 1 species
UGUCUUCAGGGCGGGGUGAAAGUCCCCACCGGCGGUACAGUCCGCGAGCGCUUCGGCCCCGGCCGGAGGCAGCUGACCCGGUGCGAUUCCGGGACCGACAGUGACAGUCUGGAUGGGAGAAGACG